CCCUACGGGAGGCAGCAGUGGGGAAUAUUGCACAAUGGGGGAAACCCUGAUGCAGCGACGCCGCGUGAGCGAUGAAGUAUUUCGGUAUGUAAAGCUCUAUCAGCAGGGAAGAAAAUGACGGUACCUGACUAAGAAGCCCCGGCUAACUACGUGCCAGCAGCCGCGGUAAUACGUAGGGGGCAAGCGUUAUCCGGAUUUACUGGGUGUAAAGGGAGCGUAGACGGCUGUGCAAGCCAGAUGUGAAAGCCCGGGGCUCAACCCCGGGACUGCAUUUGGAACUGCGUGGCUUGAGUGUCGGAGAGGCG
rnacentral:rRNA from 1 species